CCACGCAGAGACCGAAGAGAGCCUUCUGUUGACAGUGCGGGCCGUUGGUGCUAAUGCUAUUGUCAUGGAGUCGCUCUCUUCAGGCUUGUGGUC
rfam:Pristionchus pacificus strain PS312 contig2320, whole genome shotgun sequence.